GCCUGGGUGGCUCAGUGGUUGAGCAUCUGCCUUUGGCUCAGGUCGUGAUCCCAGGUUCCUGGGAUCAAGUCCCACAUCAGGCU
rfam:Canis lupus familiaris chromosome 1, whole genome shotgun sequence.